ACAGUAUAAGGCCUUUAUUUGAAGGUAAAGUACACAGAAAACUAGAUCUGAUAUAAAAGCAACUAAUUGGGAUUUCUGCAAAACAACUAGCUUGAAUUAUGCUCUUGUUAUCAUAUGUUUAUUUUAAUGAUAGCUUUUUGGUCCACUUUGUUUUAUUCUGAAGCAGUAUUGGUUAUGAAACUUGCUAAGCCUUGAAAUAUUUAAUCAUAUUUGUUUAAUCUUUUAAGAAAUUUCAGUAAAUAAUUAAACAAGAAGAAAUUUGAUUAAACAUACUAUUUUUAUUUAUUGAAUAUGAGUUCUGUUAA
rnacentral:misc_RNA from 1 species